CUGAGAAGCCCAGGAAAGAGACUUAAGCUGUGGGACGUAGACGGACUCAGUUUCAAGGCUUACAGUCACCCCAGUGUCCAAGGCAGAAGCAAGUGCAUUUCUUUCUUUGCAAAGCAAAGAGCCUCUCCACACCUCUGCGGCGAGAUUAACAAGAAGCUGAAGCCAUUUCAGGUGUCUGGUGGAAAUCUAGUCUGCAGAUGUACGCUGCUUUUCAGCCAGCGGUGGUGCACGCCUUUUAUCCCAGCACUCCGGUGGCAGAAACAGGCUGAUCUCUGAGUUAAGACAAGGUCAAGUUCAAGACAGCCAGGGGUAAACAGAGAAACACUGACUCAAAUAAAUAACUGAUAACAAAAAUAAAAAUAAAGGGGGCUGGAGAGAUGGCUCAGUGACUGCUCUUCUAGAGGACCUGAGUUCAAUUCCCAGCAACCACAUGGUGGUUCACAACCAUCUAUAGUGGGAUCUGAUGCCCUCUGUUUUAUGUGUGUCUGAAGACAGCUACAAUGUGCUCAUAUAAAUAAAAAUAAUAAUAAAUCUUUUAAAAAAUAAAUAAAAUAAAAAUGUGUUUAAAAAGAAAAGAAAACUUACAGAAUGUGGU
rnacentral:lncRNA from 1 species